CUUGUACUGCUACUGCUCCUCCGGUGUCAGCUUGUACCAGCAAGCUCUAUAGAUUUCAUCAAGCCAUUCCUCGCCGUUCAGCUUCUCGUGGAUACACUCCCAAGAUUUGAAAAGAAGCGCUGGGUACUUCUCCAACACCAUUCUCACUUUUGAUUCCCGCGCCCGCUUGUCUGCUUGUUGCAGCGCCAUUUCAAGUACAUACUGUGGGCCGAUGCCUUUGUGUUUCUCUUGCUGCUCUGGCGACAACUUGUCCCAACUCUCAAGCAGCAG
rnacentral:lncRNA from 1 species